GGCUUGGUGGUGUAUGGUACACAUCUGCAUUCUGUAGUUCAUCCGCCAGGUCAAGCAGACACAGCCCGUUCAAUUCGGGCCCGAGCCA